AUUUUUAAUGGGUUCUGGGAGAUACUUCUUGCAGUGACCAGGGAUUUUGCUGGGUGAAUGGCAUCCUGUCAUUCUUUUUCCUUAUUUUUAUUCUGACAGUCUUGGAAAUUGUCUGUGCUCUUCCUACAUGAUGUGCCCUUGGAGAAGGGCAUUCAGCAUCCUGCAUCUGUCACAUAAAUACCAUCUUCCGUGUUGCAAAGCUGCUACUCCUUCCCUGCUGUUUCCUUAAUCAGCACCUAUGGCAAAGCAGCAGGUACCGAGCCACUGAUCAAACAUGGCACUUGCUGUGAAACCCAGCAUCUGCUUAAACAGCAGUUACGUCUGCUAAUGUCAAUGGUUUAAUACUGCUUUUUAGGCAGAAUUCCCUGCCACCGUUAUCAGUAGGUGUUUGUGCUCCAGAACCCAAAUCAGCACCUGGGAUAAUGUGGUGCUGGGUAUGGUACAGCAAGGGGUUCCUCCUGCCCUGCAAACUUUGCAGCUCAAGCCUGAGGGGGACCUCCCGUUCUGUGCUCAGGCUGCUGUGCCGUUGCCUCUUUCUAUGCCAGACACUUAACGGUUGAUUAUUAUUUUUUCUUUUUUUUUCUCCUCCAGUAUGACUGGGGGAGAUCAACUGAAUAAAGCCAUCUUUGCAGUAAAUAUCUUAUUUUCUUCUUUUUGCAAGCAGUUGUACUAUUGCCUCUUCUAAAUUUGGUAUGUAUGUUUUUCAGGGCAGGGGAUGCCAGUGAUUGUGACUAGGUUCUUGCAUGCUUUUAUGGGAAUGAUACUGGCUAGUUUCUGCAGGUCCUGCUAAAUCCAGGAGGGUACAGAGAGAUGGGACAGUGCCCACACCACAGAGAGGAAUCCUUGUGGAAAAUGAAGAGCAGGAGGGUGACAAGUCCCCCUUUCAUGCUUGCGGGAACAGUUUUGCAUCUUCUCGCUGGAUUGUUUGACAGAAUAUCAGAGCCUUGAACUUCAUUCCAAGAACUUGAGGAAAUCUCAUGUCUCCCUGCCAUUUUCCAGCCUCUCUCAUCUGAAAGAACAAACCCUAUCUCUCCCUGCCUGAUGCCGUCUGAAUUUCCUCCGGGAUUAUCUAAACAGUGCCACGUGACCCAU
rnacentral:lncRNA from 1 species